rnacentral:rRNA from 1 species
UGGUGGAGUGAUUUGUCUAGUUAAUUCCGAUAACGAACGAGACUCCAACCUGCUAAGUAGAGGGCGAAUUUGGUUGUUCGCUCUGCUUCUUAGAGGGACUAGGGGUAUGUAGCCCCAUGAAAUGGAGCAAUAACA